GUGUCAGCAGCCGCGGUAAGACGUACCACCCAAACGUUAUUCGGAUUCACUGGGCUUACAGAGUCCGUAGGCGGUCGAGAAAGUUGGAUGUGAAAUACCUCAGCUCAACUGAGGAAUUGCGUUCAAAACUACUUGGCUAGAGAGAUACAGAGGUGAGCGGAACUGAUGGUGGAGCGGUGAAAUGCGUUGAUAUCAUCAGGAACACCGGUGGCGAAAGCGGCUCACUGGGUAUUUUCUGACGCUGAGGGACGAAAGCUAGGGGAGCGAACGGGAUUAGAUACCCCGGUAGUCCUAGCCUUAAACGAUGAGCACUAGAUCGAAGGGACCUCCACAUCCUUUUGGUCGUAGGGAAACUGUUAAGUGCUCCGCCUGGGGAGUAUGGUCGCAAGGCUGAA
rnacentral:rRNA from 1 species